rnacentral:rRNA from 1 species
GACGAACGCUGGCGGCGUGCUUAACACAUGCAAGUCGAACGGAAAGGCCCUGCUUGCAGGGUACUCGAGUGGCGAACGGGUGAGUAACACGUGGGUGAUCUGCCCUGCACUUCGGGGUAAGCCUGGGAAACUGGGUCUAAUACCGGAUAGGAGCCAUUUUUAGUGUGAUGGUUGGAAAGUUUUUUCGGUGUAGGAUGAGCUCGCGGCCUAUCAGCUUGUUGGUGGGGUAAUGGCCUACCAAGGCGGCGACGGGUAGCCGGCCUGAGAGGGUGGACGGCCACAUUGGGACUGAGAUACGGCCCAGACUCCUACGGGAGGCAGCAGUGGGGAAUAUUGCACAAUGGGCGCAAGCCUGAUGCAGCGACGCCGCGUGGGGGAUGACGGCCUUCGGGUUGUAAACUCCUUUCGCUAGGGACGAAGCUUUUUGUGACGGUACCUAGAUAAGAAGCACCGGCUAACUACGUG